GGCGAGUCACGCACGCACGCCCUGCUCUUUAACUAGAGUUGAGACACCUGUACAUGUACGUCACCAACCACGAAACCAAGGAAACGUCAUCAACGCAAUCAUAUAUAAAAAAUAUCUAAACCAAGCUCUCUAGCAAUUCCAACCCCUUGCUCCCACCCAUGGAAUCAUCGCCGCCGCACGACCGCCGGUGCAAGCGCGUCGCCGGCCCGAAGUCGCGGCCCGGCGAGCUCAAGAGCAACGGGGAUAAGAAGAUCAAGAGAGACAGUGAAGUGGUGGAGGAGGAUCGCCGCUGCAAUCGCCGCGCCGGAGCGUGGCGGUGCGGCGAGGCGGCGGCGGUUGGGAAGCCGAUGUGUCGACAUCACUUGGCGCAGAGCAAGAGUUACCAGGAGAGGAAGAAAAAGAGAGAGGGAAGCGGAGAGAGUGAUUCCGGCGAAGAAGACGGACGUGACCGGAAAAUCAACGCCGGCGGAUCGGAGAAUAAGAAGAAGAAGAAGAAGAAGAAGAGGAGGAGGAGGACCGCGAGUGAGUUUGAGUCUGAGUCGGAGUCGGAGCACAGGUCGAGGAAUCGGACUGUGAAAGCGA
rnacentral:lncRNA from 1 species